AAAUGUGCGUACUGAUGAUUCUUGGACACCGGCUCCAACUAUGACAUUCAAAUUUAGUAAAUAUUCUAGUAUCAGAGACUCGAGUGUUUGAAGCAGAUGGCAUUUGGAUGAAAAUACAGCCUCCAACUCAUUACAAGUCUCAACUACAAUUUUCUUCAGAUCAGUUGCAUCCCUCAAUCAAAUAUCGCUUAAACUUUUCACACCCUU
rnacentral:lncRNA from 1 species